rnacentral:rRNA from 1 species
CUAAGAUGUAGGGAGCUAUAAGUUCUCUGUAUCGCAGCUAACGCAAUAAGCACUCCGCCUGGGGAGUACGACCGCAAGGUUGAAACUCAAGGAAUUGACGGGGCCCGGCCACAAGACGGUGGAGGCAUGUGGUUAAGUUCGAGCAACGACCGAGAACCUUACCAGGUCUUGACAAUACUCCGUGCGUAUUACCGUUACGAGAUAGGAAGGUUACCUUCGGGACACGGGAGUACUACGGGGUCGGACGCGGCCGUACGUACGUGGGAGGCAAGGGCACACAGGGGAUAGGNNGNNNCNNCNNNCGAGUAGUGUGCGUNAGCNGAG